GGAUCGGUAUGUUGGUCGUGCUUCGGUACGUACUGUCAUUACCGGUUUCUACCUUCUGAAGAACCGCGAUGUCAUUAAUUUGGUGUCGUGGGGAAUCAGGACUGUUACUUUGAAAAAAUUAGAGUGUUUAAAGCAAGUGAAUAACAGCCUGAAUACAUUAGCAUGGAAUAAUAGAAUAGG
rnacentral:rRNA from 1 species